GCCCCCCUCAAGAUGAGAUUUCCCAGUAUGUAAGACCCCUUGAAGACGACGAGGUAGAUAGGUUGGAGGUGGAAGCACGGCAACGUGUGGAGCUGACCAAUACUAAUCGGUCGAGGGCUUAUCCAAAA
rnacentral:rRNA from 1 species